rnacentral:rRNA from 1 species
AUUGAACGCUGUCGGCAGGCUUAACACAUGCAAGUAGAGCGGGGGAAGGUAGCUUGCUACCGGACCUAGCGGCGGACGGGUGAGUAAUACUUAGGAAUCUGCCUAUUAGUGGGGGACAACAUCUCGAAAGGGAUGCUAAUACCGCAUACGUCCUUCGGGAGAAAGCAGGGGAUCUUCGGACCUUGCGCUAAUAGAUGAGCCUAAGUCGGAUUAGCUAGUUGGUGGGGUAAAGGCCUACCAAGGCGACGAUCUGUACCGGGGCUGGGAGGAUGCUUCGCAAGACAGUGACAGGGACACGGUCCAGACCACGCCGGGUCGCAGCAGUUGCGAUAUUUGGUCAAGGGGGGAAACGCUGAUCCAGGCAUGCAGCGUGUGUGAAGAAGUCCUAAUGAUUGUAAAGCACUUUAAGCGAGGAGGAGGCUAAUCUAGUUAAUACCUAGGGAUAGUGGACGUUACUCACAGAAUAAGCACCGGCUAACUCUGUGCCUGCCGCCGCCGUAA